UACGUAGGGUGCAAGCGUUGUCCGGAAUUAUUGGGCGUAAAGAGCUCGUAGGUGGCUUGUCACGUCGGGUGUGAAAGCUUGGGGCUUAACUCCAGGUCUGCAUUCGAUACGGGCUGGCUAGAGGUAGGUAGGGGAGAACGGAAUUCCUGGUGUAGCGGUGAAAUGCGCAGAUAUCAGGAGGAACACCGGUGGCGAAGGCGGUUCUCUGGGCCAUAACUGACGCUGAGAAGCGAAAGCAUGGGGAGCGAACAGG
rnacentral:rRNA from 1 species